AAAGGAAAGUCCCACUAUUCACAAAUGAGACUUAUGACAAUAAACAUCUGGGCAAAGAGCCUAAUGGAUUUAGAACAGCUUAUAUUGAUUUGCUGACUUGGGCUGAUAGUUUCCUAUAGAACCUGCUGGACACCAGAAUUCUUGGGGCUGUAAAGAGAAAGCUCAGUCCGUAUUCUAGCAAAGCAUCAAAGUCUGUCAGUGUUCUAGUGUAAUACUACAUGAAAAGCAAGGGCAGAAACACAAGUAAUCAC